GUUAAGCCACAAUGUUAAGCAACAUAAUAACAAAUAAAUAAAUAGAAUAAGGGAGAAAGUUCGAAUUUGGGCUAUUUGUCCUAAUUUCAAAUCAGAUGGGGUUUUGGCCCAAAACUUGUCCUGCAAAUGGAUGAGUUUGGCCCCUUUUCACUCUCAAACUCCUAUGUAUACAACAAAUGUAUAUAGUUGUAUAUAGGCCAUAUUUUGACUGAUUUUCAUGUACAUUGGACUGCAUACCAAGCAUAUGCAGCCCUCUUCAAUUCCUGCGAUCUAUAUUUCAAUUUUCAGUCUUGUAUUCACUGCACUUAAUCCUGUAUAUUAUGUAUACAUUAUAUGUAUACCACUAUAUAUAGCAGAUAUAUAGCACGUUUUCAAACUUUCCGG
rnacentral:misc_RNA from 1 species